rnacentral:rRNA from 1 species
CGAUGUGGGAAGGCCCAGACAGCCAGGAUGUUGGCUUAGAAGCAGCCAUCAUUUAAAGAAAGCGUAAUAGCUCACUGGUCGAGUCGGCCUGCGCGGAAGAUGUAACGGGGCUAAACCAUGCACCGAAGCUGCGGCAGCGAACGUAUCACCCAAGACAACUUUACGGAGUUGACGAUUGACGGAGCGAAGCGACGUCAAAGCRUUCAUUAAAGUCGAGUUGGCUUAGGGAUACGUUCGUUGGGUAGGGGAGCGUUCUGUAAGCCUGUGAAGGUGGCCUGUGAGGGUUGCUGGAGGUAUCAGAAGUGCGAAUGCUGACAUAAGUAACGAUAAAGCGGGUGAAAAGCCCGCUCGCCGGAAGACCAAGGGUUCCUGUCC